GCUGUGCUUUGUUGGGCGGGCCGGCCCUUCUCAAGGCUGCUCCCUCGCACUCUGCAGGUAAACCUUUCUGUUCUUUCCACCCGCCAGAGUCUGAGCCGUGGUGACAGUUAAUUCCUGGGGCUCCGCAGGGAGCUUGCCUGGGUCCUUCCCUGGGAGCCGUCAAGCAUGAACCUGGAUGUGCCUGGCCUGGUCCCGGGCCCUCAGCCUCCCAACGCCCCUGCGCCCGUUCUCACUGGCACGGCUCAGUGUCCACACCGGGCCAGCAGCGCAGGAACUGGAGGCUCUGCUUCGUGAUUUCCGCAGUGGCAGAUGACAGGAAUCAGGUUCCUGCGGGUGGCAGCGGAUGGGGGUGCAGAACUGCCUUUUUGCUGUUUGCCUGUUUACCCUCUUUGUGCCCGCGCCAAGGUGGGAGCCGCUACACCCAGGGAGGCGCUGGAGCGUGUGCGGAGGUCAGAGCCUGAUGCCGCCUCGGUCUCUGGGUGCCGGGGCAGCCAUUCCUUCAAACAAUGGGGUGCUUCCAAACCGGUGCCUCGUGAGGAAUUGGGAAAGACAGGAGAUUGUCAUCAUCACGAGAGACAAAACCCUAUCCUGCUAAAUUCGAGGGAAGCCUAAGAUUGCGCAGGUUUUUCAUAAUGAUCCUUCCACAGAGGACUCCCCG
rnacentral:lncRNA from 1 species